ensembl:lncRNA
CACACAGAAGGUUGUAUCGCCUACAACCUAUCUAUUGGUGGAAUUACUCUGGAUCGGAAGCUUUGUACUGAAUGGAGGACUGUGCCUUGUGGGUACUCUGCUCGUAAAGGACCAAGACACAGGCAACAGAAGGUACACAGCAGCAAUGCAGCUUCUUCAGGAAAAUCAAUUCGGGAAGAAAUUCACUCUUGACAGAUCUUUGAAGCCUGGAGUUCUUGAUAAAAGAAAAUGUGCUAUUUCCUUCAGCCACACUGUCUGGAAGCCAAAGAGGGCAAGGCAGGCCAGGCCACCUGAGCCGCUCACCCUGGAGAUGAAGGCUCUGCUUACAAGACCAGUUAAUGAAUAGAACUCAAGUCCAUUGUGUAUGUCUUAAUUAGAUUCAGAAUAUCUGAAUUUACCAUUGUCAGCACGAGACAGCACUAAACAGCAGCUAGUGGCUCCAGCCAUUGAGGAUUAGAAGUGGAGGAUGCUGGCAAGUCCUUCAUGAGACUGCAAAAACUGCUAUGAACUGGUUGGAACACCUCUCCUAUGAAGAAAAACUGAGAAAGCUGAGACAGCCUGGAGAAGGCUCAAGGGGAUCGCAUCAGUGUGCACAACUGCUUGAAGGGAGGAUGCAAAGAAGACAGAGCCAGGCUCUUUCCAGUGCUUCCCAGUGGCAGGACAAGAGGCAAUGGGCACAAACUGAAACACAAGGGGUUUCCUCUAAACAUCAGGAAGCACUUCUGUACUGUGCAGGUAAUGGAGCACUGGCACAGAUUGCCCAGAGAGGCUGUGGAGGCUCCUCCUUGGAGAUCUUCAAAAGCCGCCUGGAUGUGGGCCGGGACAAUCUGCUUGAGCAGGGAUUGGGCCAAAUGGACCCAGAGGUUCCCUUCAGCCUCAACCCUUCUGUGAUCUUGUGUUUACUUUCAUUAUUACUAGCUGACAAGUAGUGCUUCUAAAUGCCUUAAAAAGUUGAGGAAAUUUCACAAGAUUUUAUUUAUUUGUUUGUUUGUUUGUUUCUUUUGCUGUCUUUGCAUGGCAAAGACUUUCCUUUACUGGUAUUCUGACAAGAGAAAGUUCAGGCUCAAGCUGCUGGAUGUAUGUUUAUAUUGUCUUCUCAAUUUGUUUCCUGUGUUUAACUGUAGUGAGAGUUUUUUGAGGAUAGAGGGGUCUGAUCAUCACUUACUUUAAAUUGUAUAGUGCCAUUACUGCCCUAUAUCUGCUCCCUAGAGUCUUAGUACUAAACUGAAAUGUACUUAUUUGCAGCCAUGCUAGAUUCCAUUGUCAUAUCUUAAUGUAGGAUAAUACUGUAAUUCAUUAAUAUUAUGUUCUUUAAUGAGGCCUGUGACUCUGUGUUUUUAUAUAGGAAUUUGCACUUGUGAUUUUCUUUGCUAAUUUAAGUACAUUGUCCACCAUCAACUUAAAAUCUAGUAUCAAUUUAAAAUUAGGAAAUGAUGAGUCCUGUGAGAAACAUCCCUUGCUUGUUAUUCUCUCAGGAUUACAGUGUGUGAGAAGUGUUCCAUGCUGCUUUUUAAUUCCUGUUUGUUAUUGAUUGUUUUUAGUUUGCAGUUUUACUUUUUGGUUCUCUGAAAAGUUCAAAGCUCGUAACUGGUAACAAAUGGGGCAAAACUAUUUAAACUUUCAUGUCAGAAAUUACACAAAAAGCCAAACGCAAGUGCUCUUAAAGUUUUGUUUACUUCUCAUGCCCCAUAUUAAUUGCACAGAUUCUCCUAUUGCCUCAUGAAGAACCGGAUCCUGGUUACAGCUGGGCAUUCAUUAGCAAGCAGAUCACACACACAGCUGUACAAUAUAUACAGACCUGAACUACAGUCUCCUCAACUGGUGAACACCCACCUCUGCCACUGAGCUCUGUGGAAAAUGAAAUCUAAAUUCAAGAUCAUAGAGGAACUUGAAGAAGGCAGAGACCAGUCAGGAAAGAUAAAAGCAACUGGAUUAUCGUAUUGGCAUUUUUUGGAACGUUGAUUUUGGCUGGUUAAUUUUCAGAUAAUUAAAGAUGUAGUCAGGUCUAGGGAUUUUAACAAGGCCAAGAAUUGGCCAAUGUUAGUGCCUUUCUCACAGCAUGAGUCCUUGGGCAUACCUCCUGUUGAUACAAACAAGCAAUUGAUCCUGAGCAACCAGAAACACUUAACAACUGAUAACAGUUGCUUAUCUGGUACUAUCAUCUGAGUUUCUCAGUUUCCAUUGCAAGCAAAUUUGGAGCUUUGUGGUACUGAUAGCAUUGUAGAACCGUUCUACAGCACGCCAUCCUUGCAGUAGAUUUGUUGAAAACCAUCUACCAGCUGAUAGGAAUCAACUGUUUGUUUUGAGAUUGUUUCAGGGAAGAAGUUUUUAUUAGCAAAACUGACUACAGCCAACCUCAUUUUCUCUCUCUGGCAGCUUGUUCCUAGCCACAACUUAGAGCUUGUCUUGGAAAUAUUAAUGCAGUUGAAUUUUGCAGUCGUGGCUGCAUAGUGAAACCAAGGAAAGAUCUCACUUCUGGUGCAGUCUUGUCAAUAUCUAACAGCUACAAUGAUCGUUUAUCAAUAAAAAGGAAAGUUUGAAAGAUGUGUGAUGUUAGAAGGUUAAUGAUGUGAGACUCAAGGAUGCAGACUGUAAUCUCGUUAGUAUGCUAUUAUGGCAAUACACAUUCAUAAUUCAGAGGUUUGAUAUACUUGGUGUUGAUUAAAAGAAUUAAUCCAGCCAGCUCACUGAGGGCAAUGUGCUAGCUGGCAGGCACUGGUAAACAACAAGGCAGAGCAGUGUAAUCACCUGUAAGGAUAAAUACAGGUGACGCAUUCACAAUAGUAGAAAGUAGAUGCCAGGCAGGCAGCAAACACUGCCAUUGCCUAUUUCUGGCCUGCUUGGACAAGCUGUGGGGAGGAGGAUCCACACUAGCAUUUGGAAGGGCAAAGAAAUCAAAGGACCAGGGACUCCCCAGUGAAGGAAGAGACAUUUCAACAGCAAAAGAAAAGAAAGGUUUGACAGGCAUGGAAAGUAUUGGUGAGAGAACCUUUAAUUGGAGGAGGGAAGGAAGAGUCAAAAGAAGCUGAAAGCUACAGCGUUAAAAUAAAGCAAGAGCAAUCCAAACCAGAAAGAUGUGACACUGGGAGAAAGGUCUUUUCAUAGACCAGAGUAUAGAAAUGCUUAAUAUCAGUGAAGCCAAACAUUUAGUAUGUAUCAUCACGCGCAACGCUUAUGAAAAAAAAAAAAAACUUAAUUAACUUUCCUGUGUUCCAUUCUGGUUCUCUGUUUCUCCUUGUAAUCAAACACGGAUUAACUAAUGAAGAAUAUAUAGCCUGCAAGAUAUUUCUUCUGCAAACAAUACAUUCCAUUUUGAUUCAUUAAUGGCUUUUGGAUGUACUGAAGUUUAUCGGCAGAUUUACUUUUGGUCCCCAACACUGGCUUGCACUGUUGCAGGUAAAUUAUAUUCUAACAACAGACUUUUUUCAAAAAGAAAACUUUCCAGCAGUGUGGCAGCUGUACAAAAGCCCUUGUAUUUUAUUGUCAAACUAGACAUGGUAAGAACGUAACAGCAGUGAAAUAGAGGAUGUUAGCA